UGUCUUUUCAUCCAUCCAUUCAUCCACCUUUGUGCCCGGCUGCAUAUCUAUAUAUGCUUAAAGCCCUGACUGUUUUUAACUUCUGUUGGUCUACUAGUGAAUCAGAUGGGCCAUGCCGAUACAUCUCAAGGCAGUCUGAGCUACUAAAAUAAUGAAAUUAAAAAGAGAGAAGAUCUGUCUGCGUCAGUGCUUUAGUGCAGAUGAAGGUGGCCAAACAGAUUUUCCCCAUGAAGGAGGUCCAGAAAGUGUACUUCACCAGCAAAUUCAACAAUGUGGACAAGCUAGGAAAACAAGAGGUGUAAUUCAUGUCACAAUUCACACCCCCACACACACUCAAAGACAUAGCACCUCCAUCCAAGCACCCAAUACUGCCAUAAUUAAAUGCAUAGUGAAUGAUUAUGAAUUAGAUUUUUCAUUAUGUAUGUAUAGAGUUUAUAUAUAGAUU